AAAUGGGAGAGAAACUAGAAACAAAUUUUGAAAAGGAAACAAAGUCUCUUGAGGACAUGUGGCAAUGGCACCACAAGAUAUUCCUAGACAAAAUCCUAAAAAGCACUUUGAAGAGGGAAGCAAUCAAAAACUUAAGCAGCCAUCCUUCAACCGAACGUGGAAAUUUUGUAAAUGCAAAAGAGUUACUAUUUGAUUUAGGUAACUCCCCUUCUUUUCACUUCACUUCCGUCUUGGAAUGGAAAAUCCAUUUUCCCGGUAAAACCGCGCAACAGCCCCCACACCCUUUUCCAGAAAAUAAAAAAAAUAUAUAUUAAUAAUAAAUAAAAAUAAACAACCAAAUAAUAGAAAAAAUCCAAAAAUAAAAUAUAGAGAAAAGGAAAAGAAAAAUCACAUUUCUUCAUAUUUAUAUCCUAAGAUAACAGACUGAUACACAUUCAUGUUUACAAACAAAACCUUCAAAGCCAAAACGACAUCUUCUUACCUCUUUUCUCUUCCCUCUCCGGUGUCUCCUCCGCCGCCAUCAAAGUCGGUUCUUACUUUUAAUGACUUUCGAUUGUAUGCGCACACAAAUGGAUAUGACAACAGAAUGAGAAAUCGCCAGCGGCGAUCAUGUCACUGUCGUGUUCCGAUUGCUUCAAUGAUCUUCUCUGCAGGGAAGACUCUUCCGAAAUCAUUUCCACCGGUGACUCACCGGAAUACUCGUCGGACCUUGAAUCUCCUGCCGGAACCGUAGAAUCCAUUGCUAGUUUCAUCGAGGACGAGAGGAACUUCGUCCCUGGAUUCGAUUAUUUGUCUCGCUUCCAAUCUCGCUCUCUCGAUGCAUCGGCUCGAGAAGAUUCUGUUGCAUGGAUUCUCAAAGUGAAGAUCCUUAUAAACAUUUGAAAGAAUUCCAUAUUGUAUGCUCCAGAAUGAAGCCACAUGGUGUGACAAAGAGCAAAUAAAUCUUAGAGCUUUUCCCUUUUCUUUGAAGGAUAAAGCAAAAGAUUGGCUCUAUUAUCUACCUUCCGGUUCAACAAUAACAUGGAAUGAGAUGAAAAAAUUAUUCUUAGACAAGUUUUUCCCUGCAACAAGAGCUGCCAACAUCAGAAAAGAAAUUUGUGGCAUAACACAGUUCAUUGGAGAAACAUUGUAUGAGUAUUGGGAAAGGUUCAAGCAACUUUGUGCUAAAUGCCCACAUCAUCAAAUCUCUCUGCAACUCCUAAUCCAAUACUUCUAUGAAGGAUUAUUGCCAAUGGAUAGGAGUAUGAUUGAUGCAGCAAGUGGUGGAGCUUUGAUAGACAAGGCACCUGAAGAAGCCAAGUAAUUGAUUUCAAACAUGGCUGAGAAUUCUCAGCAAUUUGGUACAAGGGCUGAUGGAGCUACAAGGCGAGUUAAUGAGGUAAGCAUUAAAAAUCUUGAAAAUCAAAUUUCUGAUUUAACUGCUUUGGUUCGUCAAAUGGGUGUAGGGUAAUUACAAAUGGCAAAAGUUUAUGGAAUAUGUUCGGUCCAAGGACAUCCUACCAAUAUGUGCCCAACAUUGCAACAAGACUCGAUACAAGAGGCUAAUGCUCUAGGCGGAUUUGCUGGUCAAUCUCAAAGGAAGUAUGACCCUUUUUCCAAUCAUUAUAAUCGUGGAUGGAGAGAUCAGCCGAAUUUGAGCUAUGGGAACCAAGGAGGACAAUAAAAGAAACAAGGUUAAGCAUUCAGAAUUUAGGCAAUCAAAUAACUCAAUUGGCUAUGUCAGUUAGUAAAUUGGAGGCCCAAAAUUCUAAAAAACUACCUUCGCAACCAGAAAUAAAUCCAAAGGUGAACGUUAGUGCAAUUUCUCUAAGAAGUGGAAAGGAGAUUCCUUCAGGCUCGAUUCCACUUAAGGAAAGUGAACUUAGCAAGGAAAAUGAAGAAGAAGCUUCUUCCAAGGCAUCACGUAGGGUAAAAUUUGAUCCUCCCCUAUCUCUUUCAUUUCACACUCCAUUACCUCCUUUUCCUAGCAGAAUAGCAAAACCAAAAGAAGAUGAGCAAGAAAAUGAGAUCUUGGAUACAUUUAGGAAGGUGGAGAUAAAUAUCCCACUAUUGGAUGUUAUCAAACAAAUUCCUAAAUAUGCAAAGUUCUUGAAGGAAUUGUGCACCAACAAAAGAAGAAUGAAGGAAAAGGAGAAAGUAGUGGUAAGUAAGAAUGUGUCGGCAAUCUUGCAAAAGAAUAAUGUCAGAAAAAUGCAAAGAUCCAGGUAUGUUUUCAUUACCUUGUGUUAUUAGUAAUACGAAAAUUGAGCGUGCCAUGUUAGAUUUGGGAGCUUCCAUUAAUGUCAUGCCAUUUUCUAUUUAUCAAGAUUUAAAACUAAAUGACUUGCAAAAAACUGGUUUAGUGAUUCAAUUAGCUGAUCCUUCUUUCAUUCAUCCCCUUGGGGUAGUUGAAGAUGUUUUGGUGCAGGUUAAUGAGCUCAUAUUUCCUGUCGACUUUUACAUUUUGGAAAUGGAUGGUAAUUCCUCAUCAAAAUCAGCCUCAAUUUUGUUAGGAUGACAAUUCAUGAAAACUUCUAAGACAAAGAUUAAUGUAGAUGAGGGUACUCUCUCCGUAGAAUUUGAUGGAGAGAUUGUUAAAUUUAAUAUUUUCGAUGCAAUUAAAUACCCUAAUGAUGUACAUUCUCUUUGCCAUAUUGAUGUAAUUGAUCCAAUUGUGUAGGAAGUUUUUGCAGAAGAAAGUGUUGUUGAUGAGCAAGAAUUAGAUGAAAAAUCUAUUUUUGAAGGAAAUGAUUAUGAGAUUGGUGUAGAAGAACUAUUUUCAGCAACAAUAUCUGAACCCACAAAUCUCAAUACUGAAAUCUCUAAUACUAAUGACAAGAUGUUACCUUCAAUUGUGCAGGCACCAAAACUAGAGCUGAAAGCUUUACCAGAUCACCUAAAUUAUGUAGUGAUGCCAUCCUAGAAGGCUGCCAGAAUUUCUGCCCUCAUCGGAUCGGUUUUCAAGGCCAGACUAUCACAUGCCCACCAGUUUCCUCCUGGUUUGUCCUCAAACCACACAUCUAAUAAAGGGGUCCUGCUCUGAUAUGAUUUGUAACGACCCAGAACCAUAUCACAAUGAGAUAUUGUCCGAUUUGGCCCCCAUUGGCCUCACAGUUUUAUCGCCUUGGCGGAUUCGAGAUCCUAGAGGAGGUCACUCAUCCUGAAAUUUCUCCGAAUCAAGCAGGUUUAACUUUGGAGUUCCUACAACCCCACAGCCAAAUAACGAAAAGGCUUCUCAUGUAAUCAGUUUCAAUUCUUUACAUAUAUGUUAUUAACCAUUCUUUGUCAUGUUUCGACAUGCAAUUCGGUUCAUUCAUGUACCCCGUACCUUAGAGUGUUGCCAUCCUAGAAGCUUGUCAUAAGCUGCUCCUUAUCCAAGCAUCCUAUCCUUGCUGUGGCGUCUACUUUCGCCCUCAUCGGAUCACUUUUAUAGGAAAUGAUGAUUAUUAACUAUG